rnacentral:lncRNA from 1 species
UGGACUCUUCUUUCUAGUACCUAUUUUUAUUAAUUUAUUUAUGUUUCAUGCCAUUCUUUCUUGAAGUUGAUUCUAGCAAUGAAAGACAAUGCAGAGGACCUAUAGGAUCUAACAUGGAAGUGGAUUAGUUUUUGAUGCUUAUAGUUAAUUGCGGAUGGAUCUAAUAUUGGACAACCGCUUUUAGCGUCUGGAGGGUCAUCUAGUGUCAUAAGCAUAUGGAACCUUGAGAAGA